CACACCGUGGUGCAAUGGAAGCACACCAGGCAAUAGCCUGGAGAAACAGGUUCAAUUCCUGUCGGUGUGG